ensembl:misc_RNA Y_RNA Y RNA
UGCUGGUCCAAGAGUAGUGGCGUUUAUAACUCAGUGAUCACAGCCAGUUACAGAUUUGUUCCUGUCCCACUGCAUUACUUGACUAGAAAGAA